AUCCCUUGUGCAUGAGGUUUUAAAGUUUAAAUGUAAUUUCUUAUAAUUUUUCUAAUGUUGAGGAGUAGGUUUGCUCUUUAUUAUUAGGAUUAAGUAUGUUACAGGUGCCUAAAUACCUUUUCUUCUCAUGCAGUAAUAUCCAAAACACACGUUUAAGGAAACGGUGUGUUUUGGCUCCCUCACAAGCACAGGCCCAUGGAAAU
rnacentral:lncRNA from 1 species